rnacentral:rRNA from 1 species
UGCCAGCCGCCGCGGUAAUACGGAGGGUGCAAGCGUUGUUCGGAAUUAUUGGGCGUAAAGCGCGUGUAGGCGGUUCGUUAAGUCUGAUGUGAAAGCCCGGGGCUCAACCCCGGAAGUGCAUUGGAAACUGGCGAACUUGAGUACGGGAGAGGAAAGUGGAAUUCCGAGUGUAGGGGUGAAAUCCGUAGAUAUUCGGAGGAACACCUGUGGCGAAAGCGACUUCCGAGCUUAUAACUGACGCUGAGGCGCGAAAGCGUGGGUAGCAAACAGGAUUAGAUA